rnacentral:rRNA from 1 species
GUAAUGCGUGACCAACCUGCCCCAUGCUCCAGAAUAGCUCUUGGAAACGGGUGGUAAUGCUGGAUGCUCCAACUUGACGCAUGUCUUGUUGGGAAAGUGUUUAGUGGCAUGGGAUGGGGUCGCGUCCUAUCAGCUUGUAGGCGGGGUAAUGGCCCACCUAGGCUUCGACGGGUAGCCGGCCUGAGAGGGCGGACGGCCACAUUGGGACUGAGAUACGGCCCAGACUCCUACGGGAGGCAGCAGUU